rnacentral:rRNA from 1 species
GCAUAUCAAUAAGCGGAGGAAAAGAAACCAACAGGGAUUGCCCUAGUAACGGCGAGUGAAGCGGCAACAGCUCAAAUUUGAAAUCUGGCGUCUUUGGCGUCCGAGUUGUAAUUUGCAGAGGGCGCUUUGGCAUUGGCAGCGGUCCAAGUUCCUUGGAACAGGACGUCACAGAGGGUGAGAAUCCCGUACGUGGUCGCUAGCCUUUACCGUGUAAAGCCCCUUCGACGAGUCGAGUUGUUUGGGAAUGCAGCUCUAAAUGGGAGGUAAAUUUCUUCUAAAGCUAAAUACUGGCCAGAGACCGAUAGCGCACAAGUAGAGUGAUCGAAAGAUGAAAAGCACUUUGGAAAGAGAGUUAAAAAGCACGUGAAAUUGUUGAAAGGGAAGCGCUUGCAGCCAGACUUGCCUGUAGUUGCUCAUCCGGGUUUUUACCCGGUGCACUCUUCUAUAGGCAGGCCAGCAUCAGUUUGGGCGGUUGGAUAAAGGUCUCUGUCAUGUACCUCUCUUCGGGGAGAACUUAUAGGGGAGACGACAUGCAACCAGCCUGGACUGAGGUCCGCGCAUCUGCUAGGAUGCUGGCGUAAUGGCUGUAAGCGGCCCGUCUUGAAACACGGACCAAGGAGUCUAACAUCUAUGCGAGUGUUUGGGUGUCAAGCCCGAGCGCGUAAUGAAAGUGAACGGAGGUGGGAACCUUUCGGGGUGCACCAUCGACCGAUCCUGAUGUCUUCGGAUGGAUUUGAGUAAGAGCAUAGCUGUUGGGACCCGAAAGAUGGUGAACUAUGCUUGAAUAGGGUGAAGCCAGAGGAAACUCUGGUGGAGGCUCGCAGCGGUUCUGACGUGCAAAUCGAUCGUCAAAUUUGGGCAUAGGGGCGAAAGACUAAUCGAACUAUCUUGUAGCUGGUUCCUGCCGAAAUUUCCCCCCCAGGAAA